CAGGCUUAACACAUGCAAGUCGAGGGGCAGCAUUUCAGUUUGCUUGCAAACUGGAGAUGGCGACCGGCGCACGGGUGAGUAACACGUAUCCAACCUGCCGAUAACUCGGGGAUAGCCUUUCGAAAGAAAGAUUAAUACCCGAUGGUAUAAUCAGACCGCAUGGUCUUGUUAUUAAAGAAUUUCGGUUAUCGAUGGGGAUGCGUUCCAUUAGGCAGUUGGUGAGGUAACGGCUCACCAAACCUUCGAUGGAUAGGGGUUCUGAGAGGAAGGUCCCCCACAUUGGAACUGAGACACGGUCCAAACUCCUACGGGAGGCAGCAGUGAGGAAUAUUGGUCAAUGGGCGCAGGCCUGAACCAGCCAAGUAGCGUGAAGGAUGACUGCCCUAUGGGUUGUAAACUUCUUUUAUAUGGGAAUAAAGUUUUCCACGUGUGGAAUUUUGUAUGUACCAUAUGAAUAAGGAUCGGCUAACUCCGUGCCAGCAGCCGCGGUAAUACGGAGGAUCCGAGCGUUAUCCGGAUUUAUUGGGUUUAAAGGGAGCGUAGGUGGACAGUUAAGUCAGUUGUGAAAGUUUGCGGCUCAACCGUAAAAUUGCAGUUGAUACUGGCUGUCUUGAGUACAGUAGAGGUGGGCGGAAUUCGUGGUGUAGCGGUGAAAUGCUUAGAUAUCACGAAGAACUCCGAUUGCGAAGGCAGCUCACUGGACUGCAACUGACACUGAUGCUCGAAAGUGUGGGUAUCAAACAGGAUUAGAUACCCUGGUAGUCCACACAGUAAACGAUGAAUACUCGCUGUUUGCGAUAUACAGUAAGCGGCCAAGCGAAAGCAUUAAGUAUUCCACCUGGGGAGUACGCCGGCAACGGUGAAACUCAAAGGAAUUGACGGGGGCCCGCACAAGCGGAGGAACAUGUGGUUUAAUUCGAUGAUACGCGAGGAACCUUACCCGGGCUUAAAUUGCAUUUGAAUAUAUUGGAAACAGUAUAGCCGUAAGGCAAAUGUGAAGGUGCUGCAUGGUUGUCGUCAGCUCGUGCCGUGAGGUGUCGGCUUAAGUGCCAUAACGAGCGCAACCCUUAUCUUUAGUUACUAACAGGUCAUGCUGAGGACUCUAGAGAGACUGCCGUCGUAAGAUGUGAGGAAGGUGGGGAUGACGUCAAAUCAGCACGGCCCUUACGUCCGGGGCUACACACGUGUUACAAUGGGGGGUACAGAAGGCAGCUACCUGGUGACAGGAUGCUAAUCCCAAAAGCCUCUCUCAGUUCGGAUCGAAGUCUGCAACCCGACUUCGUGAAGCUGGAUUCGCUAGUAAUCGCGCAUCAGCCAUGGCGCGGUGAAUACGUUCCCGGGCCUUGUACACACCGCCCGUCAAGCCAUGAAAGCCGGGGGUACCUGAAGUACGUAACCGCAAGGAGCGUCCUAGGGUAAAACUGGUAAUUGGGGCUAAGUCAUAACA
rnacentral:rRNA from 1 species